rnacentral:lncRNA from 1 species
UGAAUACAAUAUAGAUUGAUGGCGGAUAAUAGGAUACUGUAGCAUUGAAUGUUUUGUGUAUAACUCAUGCUGGCAUAUGAAUGUUAUCAUCAUAAAUCAUCUAUAAUGAUCUGACAUAACAUUGAAAACUCUAUAGAACUUUGUGUUACUCUAUAGUGUGUUGUUAUAAAUAUUUGUUUACUAAUAGUCCGUAAAUAAAGGCGACAAUAGUAUACCGCUGAUCAAUAGUCACACUUUGAUGAAGCAAAAACGAAUCAGGGUGACACACUUAAAUUGAGGAAAAUACAUUAAGUGUCACCUGUUAUUAUCUUUUGUUAUGUUUUGUUAAUUUCAACUCUCUGAAUAAUAUUCUAACUUUUUUAACAAAUGUAUAUAGUAAUGUACCAACCUAACAUGUAAUGGAUUUACAUUUAAUGUAUAUAGUAAUGUACCAACCUAACAUGUAAUGGAUUUACAUUAACAUUUCUUGCCAAAAUUUUCACCAAUAUAAAAAAAAAAUCAACAAUUGGUUGAAGCCUAAAUCGGCCUUCCACGGAAAAGAAAUAAUAUGUGUAAUAUAUACUUAACAAAAAAAAUAUGUUUAAACGGCACAUAUUGUAAUUCUUUUAUCCAAUAAUAUAGUACAUAUUCUUAUAAAAAUUAAAAGUAUUUUACAAUCUGAAAGAUGGGACAAGAAUGAUUAAAAAAGAAAUGCGUUUACAAAAUUAACAAACAUCAAUUGAUAAGAUUUCACAAACAUCAGCCUUUUCAUUGGGAAUAUAAUGGUCAUAAUAUUUUUGCAUUUAUAUGUGGCUUUAAUAACUAGUUAUUACAGAAUUAGACGAAUCCAAUUUAGACCAUCGUGUUGCACAUCAUUAUUGGUAUCUACAUGUAUAAUGGCGUGACCGAUUAAAGUCUCUAAGAUUUGAAGCACGUGUCAUAAAUCUAAUUUGAAUUAUUCAUUCUUCAUUUUAUAUCCGCCAUUAACAAGUCUCAAACUAUUUCCCUGGAAUUUAUUGAUAGCUCAGCUAUAUUUUUUUUAAAUGAAUUGACUAUAAUUUCACAGAAUAAAUGAAAUGAACAGCUACAGGCUUUUUUGGUUAAGACGCAACAAUCUGUAUAAAUAUCUAACAUGGCCACUAAGCUAUAAAACGUCUCGAUAGGAAAUCACUAUAAGUGCUUUCAAAUGUCUUUUUCAUAACCAUGAAAGUUCAAUCUUUAUUAUGCUAUAAUACUUAAGUUCCAAUGUUAAAUCCAUUUCUGAUUAAAUCGUGAAGGGUUUAUAUAUUUGUGACCUUUUGUAGUUGGUUUCCAUGAACACAAAAUUCUACCAUGCCGAGUAAUUAAAGAAAGGACACUUCAAAACUUAAGCUAAAUGCAUUGGGUAUAACUCAAAGAGAAAACCUUUAUAAUUAAACAAAAUCCAUUGAUACUAAGAAUUGGUUUCUAUCAGAGGUUUUCUAAUGGAUAAGCCAGUCAUAAUAUCUGCAAAGGGUUAAAAAAGAACACAAAUUAACAAGUCGAGGUACAUGAAUGAAAGGUCUAUUGUAUUUAAGGUUUUAAUCGGUGUUCACUCAAAAAUAUUUCUAUUGCAUGUUUGAAAAUGGUCGGAGUUUCAAUGUCGGUGGCCGUAUUGGAAAGAACAUUUUAAUCUUUGUAAACUAAUGUUUUUCUACAUUUAUUUAUUUCAUGUGUGUACUGUCUUUACUCUGUUCACGUUCUGAUCGAUUAAGACGUCAUAUGUGGACCCAACUUAAGUUUUAAACAUUCUGGUUGGUUAAGACGUCAUAUGUGGACCCCACUUAAGUUUUAAAUAUUCUGAUUGUUUAAUACGUCAUAUGUGGACCCCACUUAAGUUUUAAACGCUCUGAUUGGUUAAGACGUUAUAUGUGCACCCCACUUAAGUUUUUUUAAACUUUCAGAUUGGUUUAGACGUCAUAUGUGGACCCCACUUAAGUUUUAAACGUUAUGAUUGGUCAAGACGUCAUAUGCAGAACAUGUGACUGCUCUAAGAAAUGAACCCAAAAUGAAUAAAUCUGAAGUACAUGUUAGACAGACGUAACGUCACAUGUGUCUGUUAUUGAAUGAGUGAAAUGGUUUCCGUCCUUCUUAAUACAAUAUAUAUAAGAAAUAUUCAAGAUAAUCCCACCGUUAAAAUUAAUAUAUAGUUUACUAGUACACUACUUUUCUCCUUUUGGAAAUACAUGUAUAUAUCUUAUUUUGUUUCGCUAUAAAAAUAGUUUGUUUCAAAAAGUGUUCUUUUAACUUAACUUAUUUCGCUGAGAGUCGUUUCAAAACCUAUCGUAGUUCAGGAAUAUACUAUAUUUAAAAUAAUGUUUUAUAUGAAUUUUAACAAACAUCUUUAUAUGAAAAAUAAAAAAUCAAAAUAACCAAACAUAAGUCUGAAAAUAACGCAGUACUAUAUGUUCAUGCAGGUUCAAAGGAACAUGUUUUUUUUCCAAAAUGAAUUUUUGUUUGUACAAAACUAUGGACUAGUUUGCGCAAUCGAGAGCGCUCAUUUUUGUUUUUGAAGGAAAUUAUUUGCCUCGUGCCAAGGGAGGUAACAAGAAUAUAAUCAUGCAGUGUUACAUGUUGUAAAACAUAUAAAUAUGUUAAAUGUUAGUUUAAUAAAUAUUUUAUUGAAUGUGCCUGUUCAUAUUUUUUCUGGAGAAAACUAAUUAAAACGAUUAUAUUCUAAAUUAAAAAUAAAGCCAGACAC